rnacentral:rRNA from 1 species
GACAGAGGCCUCAAGCGUUAGGCGGAAUCACUGGGCUUAAAGCGUGUGUAGGCGGAUCGUUAAGUGUCUUGUGAAAUCCCACGGCUCACCCGUGGAACUGCUGGGCAUACUGGCGAUCUUGGGCCAACUAGGGGCAACUGGAACAAGCGGUGGAGCGGUGAAAUGCGUAGAUAUCGGGAAGAACACCCGUGGCGAAGGCGGCUCUCUGGAACGCAACUGACGCUGAGACGCGAAAAGCGUGGGGAGCGAACAGG